rnacentral:rRNA from 1 species
AAAGGUAAGCUACUAAGAGCGAAUGGUGGAUGCCUUGACUGGUAAAGGCGAUGAAGGACGUACUAGACUGCGAUAAGCUACGGGGAGCUGUCAAGAAGCUUUGAUCCGUAGAUUUCCGAAUGGGGCAACCCAAUGUAUAGAGAUAUACAUUACCUAUAUAGGAGCGAACGAGGGGAAUUGAAACAUCUUAGUACCCUCAGGAAAAGAAAUCAAUAGAGAUUGCGUCAGUAGCGGCGAGCGAAAGCGCAAGAGGGCAAACCCAGUGCUUGCACUGGGGGUUGUAGGACUGCAAUGUGCAAGAGGUAAGUUUAGCAGAACAUUCUGGAAAGUAUAACCAUAGAGGGUGAUAGUCCCGUAUGCGAAAAACAAACCUUAGCUAGCAGUAUCCUGAGUAGGGCGGGACACGAGGAAUCCUGUCUGAAUCCGGGUCGACCACGAUCCAACCCUAAAUACUAAUACCAGAUCGAUAGUGCACAAGUACCGUGAGGGAAA